GUAACUGCGAGUGAAGCGGGAAAAGCUCAAAUUUAAAAUCUGGCGGUCUUUGGCCGUCCGAGUUGUAGUCUGGAGAAGUGCUUUCCGCGCUGGACCGUGUAUAAGUCUCUUGGAACAGAGCGUCAUAGAGGGUGAGAACCCCGUCUUUGACACGGACUACCAGUGCUUUGUGAUGCGCUCUCAAAGAGUCGAGUUGUUUGGGAAUGCAGCUCAAAAUGGGUGGUGAAUUCCAUCUAAAGCUAAAUAUUGGCGAGAGACCGAUAGCGAACAAGUACCGUGAGGGAAAGAUGAAAAGCACUUUGGAAAGAGAGUUAAACAGUACGUGAAAUUGCUGAAAGGGAAACGCUUGAAGUCAGUCGCGUUGUCCGGAACUCAGCCUUGCUUUUGCUUGGUGCACUUUCCGGAUGACGGGUCAGCAUCGAUUUUGACCGUCGGAAAAGGGCUGGAGUAAUGUGGCACCUCCGGGUGUGUUAUAGACUCCGGUCGCAUACGGCGGCUGGGAUCGAGGAACGCAGCGCGCCGCAAGGCAGGGGUUCGCCCACU
rnacentral:rRNA from 1 species